ensembl:ribozyme RNaseP_nuc Nuclear RNase P
GUGGGAGGAAGCUCACUACAGAGGUCACACACUGAAUGUUAAUCACUCCACCAUGAACCUUGGGGAAGGUCUGAGACAAGAGCCAAUUGCUGUCCUUGCAGGGCAUCACCUGGCGCAGGUGAGUGAGUACCCAGAGACGUUGGGCCUCAGUGGGAUGUCUUCAUAAGAGAAGUCAGUUAGUGUGAUUAGCCAGCACAGCUGAUGGAUAUGACACCAC